GCCGCAGUGGCGGAAUUGGUAGACGCGCAGUGUUCAGAACGCUGUAGGAUUUUCCUGUAAGAGUUCAAAUCUCUUCUGCGGCA
rnacentral:tRNA from 1 species